CAAUAUUGCUAGAAUCUCCCAAAUGAAAAUGAACUUGACCGUGGGAAAAUUUUUAAAAUAUCUAGCCAAGGAUUUGUAGACAAAUCGUGCGAAAAUCGGUCCAAAAAAACUCACAUUCUUCGAGU
ensembl:ncRNA C05B10.20 ncRNA